CAUAAAAAUUUGUCAAACAGACUUAAGCAACACACUUAAGCGGUCGGGCCCAGAAUAUCUUUAUAAACUGGUAACAAUUUCCUUUUGGCAUUUAGACAGGAUAGAGGCAGUGAUCACCAAAAUCAAGAAAACUUUCCAAAGUUCACAAAAAAUAAAAAAUAAAAAAUUAACUAGUCAACAAAAAUGCAAAUUGCUAAAUUAAUAAGUAAUAUUGAUGAGUUUUUCUUAUGUUAUGACAUAAAGAUAAUUGUGGUUGCCCUAAUAUAUAUUCAUUUUGAGAAUAAAAAAACAAAUGUGGUAGGUAAUAAGAAAGUCACGUGAAAAAUUGUAAAAUUUAACUUUAAUAUAUGAUUGGUAUUGGUCUCAGUUCAACAAGGCACAGCAGAUUAUGCUUAUGUAAAAUGAUUAACAAUUUCCAAAAGUAAGUAAAAACAGCAUCUCCAGAGGGCAACACUGCCCUGGACAGUAAGACCGAAUACUCAAGAUAAAAUGGACAGAAAAGCAACACAACAUUUGGUAAGGUUUUGUAACAAACGAUCUAAAAAUUUAGAUAAGACCAAAUGGCGUGGGGUCGUCUUCAAAAACCUUUAUGCGAAUUUGCGUCUUGUUUCUAUAAUUAAACAGAUAUCUCGUCCCCGUUUGUCUCCUUUUUUAACAGUGACUAAAUCAUACCCACCUCGGUGUGGCUGAUUGGUUUAAAUUGAUAAUUAAUAAGAAGCAGCCGUUCUUUUAACGGUUUCCCUUAGACCUACACAUGACUGCAUAGCUAACAAAACAUAAGCACUAAGUUGAACCGGGUAACAUUUUGAACACCAAUUUCUUACCUGGCUGUGGUUGUCUCCAAGCUCCAGGAUCAGGAUUCCUCCAUCCCCCUGGUGCCCUUGGUCUCACAUCACCUUGAACCUGGUUUAUGGGUUACUGCCCCCUUAAGGUAACACCAACAUCUGCACCCUCUCUGCUCCCCUCUGCUACCGAGACUCUGGACCUCCUGGUACAGCCACCACCCCCUGGAGUUCGUUCCUGCCCUGGGUGGAAUACCCCCACAACUCCCUCUCUACCUCUGCUACCGGACCAUGUCAUGGACACAGCUGAAGUUCGGAUCCUGGAUCUCCUCUGUGCUGCGACGUCUCAUCUCAGUGUAAGGUGGACCUGAAUCUUCAGGCUGCUGGAAGAACAUGUCCAAGGUGAUACCCAGGCUUUUAAUAUCUGGCUGACUAUAACAACAUGUGAGGUCUAUCUGCACUUGACUCUUACGACUGAUGACGCCUGGGAUGGUGGCACCUGGAGUCAUGAUGGUGUUCUUGUAGGCGAUCCGGCUGCCAUUUGUCUGAAGUGGGAUGACAUUGACACAUUUUCCAGGAGAUGAAAGGCUUGGGAGAAGUUCAUGGACCCCUGAUCCUAUU